rnacentral:rRNA from 1 species
GCAAGUCGAACGAGAAACUCACUUCGGUGAGUGGACAGUGGCAGACGGGUGAGUAACGCGUGGCAACCUACCUUUUUCUACGGAACAACAGUUGGAAACGACUGCUAAUAACGUAUACGCCCUCCGGGGGAAAGAUUUAUCGGUGAAAGAUGGGGCCGCGUUAGAUUAGCGAGUGGGUGAGGUAAUGGCUCACCAAGGCGACGAUCUAGAGCUGGUCUGAGAGGAUGAGC